rnacentral:rRNA from 1 species
AAACUUCUUUAUCACCGAGUGCUUGCACUCACCGAUAAAGAGUUGAGUGGCGAACGGGUGAGUAACACGUGGGCAACCUGCCCAAAAGAGGGGGAUAACACUUGGAAACAGGUGCUAAUACCGCAUAACCAUAGUUACCGCAUGGUAACUAUGUAAAAGGUGGCUAUGCUACCGCUUUUGGAUGGGCCCGCGGCGCAUUAGCUAGUUGGUGGGGUAAAGGCUUACCAAGGCAAUGACGCGUAGCCGAACUGAGAGGUUGAUCGGCCACAUUGGGACUGAGACACGGCCCAAACUCCUACGGGAGGCAGCAGUAGGGAAUCUUCCACAAUGGGCGAAAGCCUGAUGGAGCAACGCCGCGUGGGUGAAGAAGGUCUUCGGAUCGUAAAACCCUGUUGCUAGAGAAGAAAGUGCGUGAGAGUAACUGUUCACGUUUCGACGGUAUCUAACCAGAAAGCCACGGCUAACUACGUGCCAGCAGCCGCGGUAAUACGUAGGUGGCAAGCGUUAUCCGGAUUUAUUGGGCGUAAAGGGAACGCAGGCGGUCUUUUAAGUCUGAUGUGAAAGCCUUCGGCUUAACCGGAGUAGUGCAUUGGAAACUGGGAGACUUGAGUGCAGAAGAGGAGAGUGGAACUCCAUGUGUAGCGGUGAAAUGCGUAGAUAUAUGGAAGAACACCAGUGGCGAAAGCGGCUCUCUGGUCUGUAACUGACGCUGAGGUUCGAAAGCGUGGGUAGCAAACAGGAUUAGAUACCCUGGUAGUCCACGCCGUAAACGAUGAAUGCUAAGUG